rnacentral:rRNA from 1 species
AGAGUUUGAUUCUGGCUCAGGAUGAACGCUGGCGGCGUGCUUAACACAUGCAAGUCGAACGGGGUGCCUUAGAAAGAGGAUUCGUCCAAUUGAUAAGGUUACCUAGUGGCGGACGGGUGAGUAACGCGUGAGUAACCUGCCCUGGAGUGGGGAAUAACAGCUGGAAACAGCUGCUAAUACCGCAUAAUGCAGUUGGGUCGCAUGGCUCUGACUGCCAAAGAUUUAUCGCUCUGGGAUGGACUCGCGUCUGAUUAGCUAGUUGGUGGGGUAACGGCCCACCAAGGCGACGAUCAGUAGCCGGACUGAGAGGUUGGCCGGCCACAUUGGGACUGAGACACGGCCCAGACUCCUACGGGAGGCAGCAGUGGGGAAUAUUGGGCAAUGGGCGCAAGCCUGACCCAGCAACGCCGCGUGAAGGAAGAAGGCUUUCGGGUUGUAAACUUCUUUUGUCAGGGACGAAGCAAGUGACGGUACCUGACGAAUAAGCCACGGCUAACUACGUGCCAGCAGCCGCGGU